GUAUUGGUUCUUCGCGACAAUAAGCCGUCAACCCCGUCAGGUCCGGAAGGAAGCAGCGGUAGCGGUGAUUUGGGUGCCGAAGGGUGCUGGUACAGA
rnacentral:SRP_RNA from 2 species